rnacentral:rRNA from 1 species
GACGAACGCUGGCGGCGUGCUUAACGCAUGCAAGUCGAACGGGAACCUUUAUUUCGGUAAAGGUGAGAGUGGCAAACGGGUGAGUAACACGUAGGCAACCUGCCGACAGGAUGGGGACAACAUUCCGAAAGGAAUGCUAAUACCGAAUGGACUCCGGGGAUGGCAUCAUCCUCGGAUAAAAGAUGGCCUCUGAAUAUGCUAUCGCCUGUCGAUGGGCCUGCGUCUGAUUAGCCGGUUGGCGGGGUAACGGCCCACCAAAGCGACGAUCAGUAGCCGGUCUGAGAGGAUGAACGGCCACAUUGGGACUGAGACACGGCCCAGACUCCUACGGGAGGCAGCAGUGGGGAAUCUUCCACAAUGGGCGAAAGCCUGAUGGAGCAACGCCGCGUGAGUGAAGAAGGUCUUCGGAUCGUAAAGCUCUGUUGCACGGGACGAGAACCGGGUUUGAGA